rnacentral:rRNA from 1 species
CUUGCUCCUCUGACGUUAGCGGCGGACGGGUGAGUAACACGUGGAUAACCUACCUAUAAGACUGGGAUAACUUCGGGAAACCGGAGCUAAUACCGGAUAAUAUAUUGAACCGCAUGGUUCAAUAGUGAAAGACGGUUUUGCUGUCACUUAUAGAUGGAUCCGCGCCGCAUUAGCUAGUUGGUAAGGUAACGGCUUACCAAGGCAACGAUGCGUAGCCGACCUGAGAGGGUGAUCGGCCACACUGGAACUGAGACACGGUCCAGACUCCUACGGGAGGCAGCAGUAGGGAAUCUUCCGCAAUGGGCGAAAGCCUGACGGAGCAACGCCGCGUGAGUGAUGAAGGUCUUCGGAUCGUAAAACUCUGUUAUUAGGGAAGAACAAAUGUGUAAGUAACUAUGCACGUCUUGACGGUACCUAAUCAGAAAGCCACGGCUAACUACGUGCCAGCAGCCGCGGUAAUACGUAGGUGGCAAGCGUUAUCCGGAAUUAUUGGGCGUAAAGCGCGCGUAGGCGGUUUUUUAAGUCUGAUGUGAAAGCCCACGGCUCAACCGUGGAGGGUCAUUGGAAACUGGAAAACUUGAGUGCAGAAGAGGAAAGUGGAAUUCCAUGUGUAGCGGUGAAAUGCGCAGAGAUAUGGAGGAACACCAGUGGCGAAGGCGACUUUCUGGUCUGUAACUGACGCUGAUGUGCGAAAGCGUGGGGAUCAAACAGGAUUAGAUACCCUGGUAGUCCACGCCGUAAACGAUGAGUGCUAAGUGUUAGGGGGUUUCCGCCCCUUA